rnacentral:lncRNA from 1 species
GGCACAACCACUUUGGUCUCCUACUUCGGGCAGCUGUGCAUGUACUAGGGGAAUGGAAUUUACUGGGGAAAUAAUGGUGCUCACUGCAAGACUCCAUCUCCUGUAGCUUCCUGCAGGUAUGAAAAACAGCACAGAGCAGAAGGUCCCUGCCAUUGCUCUUGUCUUCAUCUGAAAAAGAGAGAUUGUUCCUCGCUUAUGCUGCUUGUCAUCCUAGCGUCUGCGUGUACCUGUUGCUGUGCUGAUGAUGAAGUCCAUUUCCCGGUAACUGGACAGUGAAUGCUUCUGUUCACUUUGGUGUUGCUGACUACAUCUAAUUUGAAGAGACCUUGUAAGGCCAGCUAACAGAGAGAGAGACUGCCUGCAUGAAACACGGCCUCAAAUGAACACUGACAGCC